rnacentral:rRNA from 1 species
UGAGCAAUCUGCCCUUCUCUUUGGAAUAAGCGUUGGAAACGACGUCUAAUGCCGAAUACGACCUCCUUUCGCAUGAUCGGAGGUGGAAAGCUCCGGCGGAGAAGGAUGAGCUCGCGGCCUAUCAGCUAGUUGGUGUGGGUAAUGGCCCACCAAGGCGACGACGGGUAGCCGGCCUGAGAGGGUGACCGGCCACACUGGGACUGAGACACGGCCCAGACCUCCUACGGGAGGCAGCG